rnacentral:rRNA from 1 species
GAUGAACGCUGGCGGCGUGCCUAAUACAUGCAAGUCGAGCGAACAGACGAGGAGCUUGCUCCUCUGACGUUAGCGGCGGACGGGUGAGUAACACGUGGAUAACCUACCUAUAAGACUGGGAUAACUUCGGGAAACCGGAGCUAAUACCGGAUAAUAUAUUGAACCGCAUGGUUCAAUAGUGAAAGACGGUUUUGCUGUCACUUAUAGAUGGAUCCGCGCCGCAUUAGCUAGUUGGUAGGUAACGGCUUACCAAGGCAACGAUGCGUAGCCGACCUGAGAGGGUGAUCGGCCACACUGGAACUGAGACACGGUCCAGACUCCUACGGGAGGCAGCAGUAGGGAAUCUUCCGCAAUGGGCGAAAGCCUGACGGAGCAACGCCGCGUGAGUGAUGAAGGUCUUCGGAUCGUAAAACUCUGUUAUUAGGGAAGAACAAAUGUGUAAGUAACUAUGCACGUCUUGACGGUACCUAAUCAGAAAGCCACGGCUAACUACGUGC